rnacentral:rRNA from 1 species
AUGGCUCAGCUCAUUCACCACUUUUGUUCUAUUUCGGGUCAAACUCCAAACUGGGCCAAAUAUGCCAUUCUUUUUAGUUCUCGAGUUAGCCAACCUACAAUGCAGGAGAUUAAGCAAGUUUUUCCUGUUUCCUCCUUGGAUAGAAAUUUCACCCAUCUUGGUCAUCCGCUUAUUCUUCCUGCUAAAAAUAGAACUACCUCCUAUAACUUUGUUCUUGAUAAAUUUAUGAAUAAACUGCCUUCUUACAAAGCCAAUAUGCUUUCUCAUGCUGUGAGGCUUAAAUUGGUUUGCUCUAUUUCUUUGUUGUUCAUGUUUAUUAUAUGGCUAACAUCUUGUUCACAAAAAAGUUUAUUGCAAAGCUCGCUGCUGUCAUUAGAAAUUUCUGGUGGACAGGUGUUAGGGAGAAUGAUUCUACAAGGAGUCUUUGUCUUCGUGCAUGGAAAGACAUAUGCAAUUCUAAAGAAGAAGAUGGACUGGGCAUAA